GUCACAAUGUGUGCAGAUACAGCAAAGCUAAAAAAACCGUAGAUUAAACCCAUAAAUUAAGAAAAGUAAAAUUACAUGUAUUAUUUAAAAAAAGCUAUUGUGGAUGAACAGAUUGUCUUGGUUAUGAUAUUCUCUUUUUAUGUAAAUAUUGUGAUUUGCAUUGUUUAUGAAGCAUGCAAAAUUGAAAAAGACAUUAGGAAGAGAGAUCACUAAGAAAAGACAUAAAGAU